GGGCACCACCGGCGGACGGCUCAGUAACACGUCGGUAACCUACCCUCGGGAGGGGGAUAACCCCGGGAAACUGGGGCUAAUUCCCCAUAGGCCUGAGGUACUGGAAGGUCCUCAGGCCGAAAGGGACUUAUGUCCGCCCGAGGAUGGGCCGGCGGCCGAUUAGGUAGUUGGUGGGGUAAUGGCCCACCAAGCCGAAGAUCGGUACGGGCUGUGAGAGCAGGAGCCCGGAGAUGGACACUGAGACACGGGUCCAGGCCCUACGGGGCGCAGCAGGCGCGAAACCUCCGCAAUGCGGGAAACCGCGACGGGGGGACCCCGAGUGCCGUGGCAACGCCACGGCUUUUCCGGAGUGUAAAAAGCUCCGGGAAUAAGGGCUGGGCAAGGCCGGUGGCAGCCGCCGCGGUAAUACCGGCGGCCCGAGUGGUGGCCGCUAUUAUUGGGCCUAAAGCGUCCGUAGCCGGGCCCGUAAGUCCCUGGCGAAAUCCCACGGCUCAACCGUGGGGCUUGCUGGGGAUACUGCGGGUCUUGGGACCGGGAGAGGCGGGGGGUACCCCUGGGGUAGGGGUGAAAUCCUAUAAUCCCAGGGGGACCGCCAGUGGCGAAGGCGCCCCGCUGGAACGGGUCCGACGGUGAGGGACGAAGGCCAGGGGAGCAAACCGGAUUAGAUACCCGGGUAGUCCUGGCUGUAAAGGAUGCGGGCUAGGUGUCGGGUGAGCCUCGAGCUCGCCCGGUGCCGUAGGGAAGCCGUUAAGCCC
rnacentral:rRNA from 1 species